ensembl:scaRNA
AUAGUCUAGGAAAGGCUCCUGUGUGGUUGAAUCUACCUCAUACCUGAUUUUUCAACCUUGACCUAUAAAGUAAAUUUCCGUGGGAUAAUUCCGUAGGCUUAGAAUUUGCAGUUACAGGUAUGAUGAUCCUGACAGCAAUUGAAUGAUUGUAUGUAUGAUGGUGCUGCAAAUAGGA